CAGCACCUCAAGUGGUCAGGAUGAUUAUUGGGCCUAAAGCAUCCGUAGCCGGCGCUGUAAGUUUUCGGUUAAAUCUGUACGCUCAACGUACAGGCUGCCGGGAAUACUGCAGCGCUAGGGAGUGGGAGAGGUAGACGGUACUCGGUAGGAAGGGGUAAAAUCCUUUGAUCUAUUGAUGACCACCUGUGGCGAAGGCGGUCUACCAGAACACGUCCGACGGUGAGGGAUGAAAGCUGGGGUAGCGAACCGGAUUAGAGACCCGAGUAGUCC
rnacentral:rRNA from 1 species